CACUAAGGGCGAUUACACAUUAUCCGGUUUCAGCCGGACCGGUUACAAAAAGCGCCGCUGGGUUUGGACGGAUAACCGGAUAACAAUGUGAAAGAGACCUCGCGCUACACAAAACCGUACAUCUUUCACAUACACAUACAUGCAUUUGUUUAUACAGUGGUUUGACAGCCCACAAUUUCCAGCUCCCAACAUUGUAUGGGGAAAUCCUUUUCCGCACCACAAAUUGCUGUCGGCGAACAAAAGUUCGAACUGCUAUCCACGCAAUGCCGACAGUAAAUACAAAACGGAGAAACACCCGGCAUCACAUCAACAAACAAAAUACAGUUCUGGUAGAACUACUUAUAUUCAUAUGAAAACACUAGUUAUAUAAAACAUAUAUUCACAAUGUACAGUUUCACAAAAUUACAAUCUGUAUUUAUUUAGCAAAACA